GCGCCCGUAGCUCAAUGGAUAGAGCGUCUGGCUUCGAACCAGCAGGUUGGAGGUUCGAGUCCUCUCGGGCGCU
rfam:Candidate division WOR_1 bacterium DG_54_3 WOR1_52_54_9104, whole genome shotgun sequence.